UACGAAGGGGGCUAGCGUUGUUCGGAAUUACUGGGCGUAAAGCGUGCGCAGGCGGUUUGUUAAGUCCGUUGUGAAAGCCCCGGGCUUAACCUGGGAAUGGCAUUUGGGACUGCAAGGCUUGAGUGCGGCAGAGGAGACUGGAAUUCCUGGUGUAGCAGUGAAAUGCGUAGAUAUCAGGAGGAAUACCGAUGGCGAAGGCAGGUCUCUGGGCUGACACUGACGCUCAUGCACGAAAGCGUGGGGAGCAAACAGG
rnacentral:rRNA from 1 species